AUUGAACGCUGGCGGCGUGCUUAACACAUGCAAGUCGAACGAGUGGCGGACGGGUGAGUAAUGUGUGGGACACUGCCUUAUGGAGGGGGACAACUACUGGAAACGGUCGCUAAUACCGCAUAUCAUCGGAUGUGCCCCGAUGGGAUUAGCUAUCAGGUAGGGUAAAGGCUCACCUAGGCGACGAUCCCUAGCUGGUCUGAGAGGAUGACCAGCCACACUGGAACUGAGACACGGCCCAAACUCCUACGGGAGGCAGCAGUGGGGAAUAUUGCACAAUGGGCGCAAGCCUGAUGCAGCCAUGCCGCAUGUAUGAAGAAGGCCUUCGGGUUGUAAAAUACUUUCAGCGGGGAGGCGUUACCCGCAGAAGAAGCACCGGCUAACUCCGUGCCAGCAGCCGCGGUAAUUC
rnacentral:rRNA from 1 species